UCAAGUACCCGAUGUACUUUAGUGAGUGACUCACAAGAAGUCGAGUCAGCUAAAGGACUGGCGUUUCCCUACAAUAUGAUAUGAAAAAUGCUAAAUCUAGCACCUAGCAACAGUGGCGGAGAUACGGGGUGCCCACCCCAGUGGCCCACGGCUGGGGGACAAUUUUGACAAAGGCGGCUCUGUGGUGCAGAACAUUAUUUCAGCCUGACCACCGUUUCCGUUAGGACGCAUUUCACUGCAGCAAACAACUUUCCGUGUGGAGGAGCUGUCAAUAAAAACGCGUCUUGCAUGAACUGCAAGCGGUAGAGAGAGGGGGGGGUGGCACUGCUGUGACCGCCCCCCUCCAGAAGAAAUGAAGUCCGAAGAGUUUGACCCACGUGGGCCUCGACAGAACAGACCUCGGCCAUGGAUGGGAGAUCUGUGGCAAACAAUCGCAUGUUCCAGAUGAUACCACCUCUGACCCGCCCCUGGAAAGAUGAGCCCUCCCCUGUAUACAAGCUCACUCAUGGCUUUAUACAACCAGGCUUUGCUACACAUCUUAAAAUGCAGCCUUGAGCGCUGCCAACUAUCCAUCAUUGCAAGUUAUCACAAACACUCGAUUGUUGUUGCUGCUAAGGGGGGGCCAACCACUUAUUAGCUUUAGGGGGCAAUCACUUUAUUACACAGGGACAUGUAGCUUUGGAUGUUUUUUUCUCCCUUAAUGAUAAAAAGUUUCAUUUAAAGACUGCAUAAAGUGUUCAGUUGUGUUGUCAUUGACUAAUAUUUACAUUUGUUUGAUGACCUGAAACAUUAAAGUGUCACAAACACGCAAAAAAAGAAGAAAUCAAGAAGGGGGCAAACACUUUUCCACACCACUGUAAGUGAUAUGACAUGUCCUACGUUGGACAAGUGUUACGGUGUACGUGUACGUAACAGGUGCUUAAAGUAUUUGUCCGUGCCUGUCGGAAACACAGCUCAUUAGCCACAAAGGUUGAACCAAGACAACAGGGGAAGAGGUUGAAAACAUUUCUGUCCCCUGGGGGGGGCAUGACAGAAAAUAAUUGAGAACCACUGGUAUAAGGGUUGCUUGGUCUUGCCAACGUAGAGUUCAUUGCACUCCUCACUACACUGCUGAGUUUGCUUCUCUGGAUUUUGUCAGUUUUUUGCUGGAGGGUGUUGGUGGGUUUGAAAACUAAACAGACGCAGCUUCUGAGCAUUAAAGCUACAGACGAGGGAUGUCCCGAUCCACAUUUUUGGCUUCCGAUUUCUUUUAUAGUCUUGCCGAUGUGAUCCGAUCCGGUACAGAUCCGAAAAACUACCAUAAUAAGAUCCUUGUUACAUACAUGAAUUUGUGGAAUAGAAUAUGGUUCUGAAAAUAGCUCUUCAAAGCAUUCAAAAUAAUGCAAGCAAAAGUAUUGCUGAAUGUACUUUAUUCCACAGCAUGACCAACAAUAUUGUUUGGCUUUUAGAACAAACCUUUGUGAGUCAGGUCCCUGAUCCAAUAAAAGAUCCAAUAAAAGAUCAAACUGGAAAAAAUGGGUGUGUAAAAAUACUUUUAGGGUAGGACUAAUCAUUUGACAUGAUUAUAGAUCAAUUUGUGCUGUGAUUUAGUGCUGUGUAUUAACCACACCCCCAUUUUCAGGCUCAUGGCGGGGAAAAAAUUUUUUUUAGUUCAUAAAUGCUUGCUAACUCUUUCAUCUCAAAUCAACAUGCGUAAAGGUACUAAGCAAUUUCAAAAAGAAGAAUAAAGGAGAAAUCUGAACUUCGGCAUCUAGAUCUUUAAUAUUAUGGCUAAGCACAGAUUAAUCCAUUCAUCCAUCCAUUUUUAUACCGCUUAAUCCUCAUUAGGGUCGCGGGGGCAUGCUGGAGCCUAUCCCAGCUGACUUCGGGCGACAGGCGGGGUACACCCUGGACUGGUCGCCAGCCAAUCACAGGGCACAUAUACACAAACAACCAUUCACACUCACAUUCAUACCUAUGGACAAUUUAGAGUCGCCA